AUGGUAGCUACCAACACAAAUGAGGUUCAAACAAAUUAUGAAGUGAGCUAAAAGCUUUUGAUGACACCAAGGAAGGUGUUAAAGGCCUUGUUGAUGCUGGCAUAACUGAGGUUCCUAGGAUUUUUCAUCAACCACCAGGUGAGCACUUCAUUGACAACACUUCUGAUUCAGAAGCCACCCAAACCCAAUUUAGCAUUCCACUCAUAGACCUUGAAGGCCUUGCGCUUGAUAGUCCGACGAAACGAAAGGAGAUCGUUGCAAAAGUUGGAGAGGCAUCAGAGACUUGGGGCUUUUUCCAAAUUGCCAAUCAUGGAAUUCCUAUUGGUGUUCUGGAGGAGAUAAAGGAUGGGGUGCGUGGUUUUUUUGAGCAAGACACUGAGGUGAAGAAAGAGCUUUACACUCGUGAUUACUUCAGACCUGUGAUCUAUAAUAGCAACUUUGAUCUAUAUAAAGCACCAGCGACUAACUGGAGGGAUACUUUUAUUUGUUACAUGGCUCCUUACGCAAAGAAGCCAGAAGACUUGCCUGAAGUAUGCAGGUAUAUGUCACAACAAAAUUUAUAUAUAAUUCUCUGCUAGAAUUUGUAAGUUUAUUUGAUGAUAUUAAUUAGCUUGACAGCUUCAUAUGUGUUUAAACUUUGUAGAGACAUUCUUAUUGAGUACUCCAAGCAAAUAAUGAGGUUGGGGAAGUUGUUGUUCGAGUUGUUGUCGGAGGCUCUUGGGCUGACACCAAGUCACUUGAAUGACAUAGAUUGUAGUGAGGGCCUUGUGCUUCUGUGCCAUUACUAUCCUGCUUGUCCACAGCCAGAAUUAACUUUGGGCACAAGCAAACAUGCUGACAGUGACUUCCUCACAGUCCUUCUGCAAGAUCAUAUUGGUGGCCUCCAAGUUCUUCACAAGAACAAGUGGAUUGAUGUGCCCCCAGUGCCUGGGGCUUUAGUGGUUAACGUUGGAGAUCUUUUACAGGCAAGUAGAACAAUUAUUUUCUUCAUCUUAACAAAGUUGAAACUACAGUAGCUAUAGUAACAAUUAUUGUAAAUCACAAAAAUCAUUUGUUACUUUUGGCUAUUUCACCAUCUAGUGAUUAAAAUUGAAGAAAUUUUUUGGUGGUGCAUAUAGUAUUAUUGUCGUAGAAUAUGUGUCGAAUCUUCGAUUUAGUUUCCUAGCUUGGGUUUUUAUUUUAAAGAUGAUGAACUCAUUUCGGGUUGCAGCUUAUAUCAAAUGAAAGAUUCAAGAGUGUUGAGCACAGGGUACUGGCAAACCGUGUAGGUCCAAGAGUAUCUGUUGCGAGCUUCUUCACCACAGGAAUGUUACCGUUUAAAAAACUCUAUGGACCCAUCAAGGAGCUAGUAUCAGAGGACAAUCCUCCAAAGUACAGGGAGACAACUGUGAAGGACUAUAA
rnacentral:lncRNA from 1 species